UAAGCCCAACGCAACGUUUACGUGCAUCCGGUGGAUUCGUACGUAACUUCGGCGAUCAGUUUCCCAGGCUCGAGUCUGAGAAAUUUUAGUGACUCGAUCACAUUCUCCUAACCCGUGGAACGAUUCGGAAGUGCAGUGAAUUUGCUGGAGUUGUAACAAGCUAGGCCGAUAGAAAAGUAGUGCGAUAGAUAGCUAGCUUUUGUGACCUUUGUGCGAGAACCUGCGAAGAAAGGCAGCGUGGUCACAAGUUUACUUGUCUCCGGCGGCUUCCCUCGUCCGCGGACAGGAUUGCUGGCCGAGCUACAACCCUGUGGCCAGCCGCCACGCCGUCAACAUCGUGGCAGAAAAACCCCCGGUCGUACCGCAACCUUCGACCGAGCCACUCCAGUCACCUGUGGCCUUUUCGACGUAAACGCCUGGCCGCACCGCAACCUAGUUGCCGCGGCGAUCUUCGUCGACUCGUGAGGAUUCUUCACGAAUCACCGUUCGAAGCUGCCUGGCCCCCAACAACCACGUGGCCCGCAGCGAACGCCUCGAACACGCCGUGACGCUGUCACGGACCGAAGGUCGGCAGACCUGAAGACCGACCACGUGGCAAAUCGAUCGGUUCCCGACGCCUGGUAGGUGAGUCGAUCAUCCGCCACACAACCAUCGUGAUCGCACAACAGCAGCAGUAGCAGGUAGCAGAACUCGCAGAGCAGCAGUCUACGGCGCCGGCAAGGGCGAAGUAGAGGAGAAAGAACGCGCACAACGACGACGACGACGGGCUCGUAAGUACAAACUCUGUGUUAGUUGUCCGUGUGCACAUGUGACGUCCUUUGAACCACAGAGUUCGCAAGCAUGUACAACCCGCGCUAGCCCGCACCGCU